CGCGUGGGGAACCUGCCCUAUACAGGGGGAUAACAGCUGGAAACGGUUGCUAAUACCGCAUAAGCGCACAGAAUCGCAUGAUUCAGCGUGAAAAGCCCUGGCAGUAUAGGAUGGUCCCGCGUCUGAUUAGCUGGUUGGUGAGGUAACGGCUCACCAAGGCGACGAUCAGUAGCCGGCUUGAGAGAGUGAAUGGCCACAUUGGGACUGAGACACGGCCCAA
rnacentral:rRNA from 1 species